rnacentral:tRNA from 1 species
GUACUAGUAGCUCAGUGGUAGAGCUCCCGCUUCGUAUGCGGGAAGACUUGGAUUCGAUUCCCGGAUGAUUACC